GAAUCUUGCGCAAUGGCCGAAAGGCUGACGCAGCGACGCCGUGUGCGGGAGGACGCUUUUCGGAGUGUAAACCGCUGUCAGAGGGGACGAAGGCCCCCGGGAGGCAAUGCCCGUGGGGAGGGACGGUACCCUCAGAGGAAGCACCGGCUAACUCCGUCCCAGCCGCCGCGGUAAUACGGAGGGUGCGAGCGUUGUUCGGAAUUAUUGGGCGUAAAGCGCACGUAGGCGGCCCGUUAAGUCUCAUGGUGAAAGGCCGGGGCUCAACCCCGAGCAUGCCGGGGAUACUGGGGGGCUGGAGACAGGCAGAGGCCAGCGGAAUUCCGGGUGUAGCGGUGGAAUGCGUAGAGAUCCGGAAGAACACCGGAGGCGAAGGCGGCUGGCUGGGCCUGAUCUGACGCUGAGGUGCGAAAGCGUGGGGAGCGAACAGG
rnacentral:rRNA from 1 species